rnacentral:rRNA from 1 species
AUACGAAGGGUGCAAGCGUUAAUCGGAAUUACUGGGCGUAAAGCGCGCGUAGGUGGUUUUGUAAGUUGGAGGUGAAAGCCCCGGGCUCAACCUGGGAAUUGCCUCCAAAACUGCAUGACUAGAGUACGGUAGAGGGUAGUGGAAUUUCCUGUGUAGCGGUGAAAUGCGUAGAUAUAGGAAGGAACACCAGUGGCGAAGGCGACUACCGGGAAUGAGACGGAACCUGAGGGGCGAAAGCGUGGGGAGCAAACAGGAUUAGAUCCCCUGGUAGUCCACGCCGUAAACGAUGUCAACUAGCCGUUGGGAUCCUUGAGAUCUUACUGGCGCAGCUAACGCAUUAAGUUGACCGCCUGGGGAGUACGGCCGCAAGGUUAAAACUCAAAUGAAUUGACGGGG